rnacentral:sRNA from 1 species
CGGUCUAAGGAGAGCGAUCCGAUGGCCGGCAGAACCCCGUCUCCCGCGCGAGCGAUCGUGGGAGACAUCGUUCUGCGCUGUUCAAAUCUGAAGUGAACCAGUGCGAAUGGCCCAUCUCGAGAUGGGUGAAUGACUUUAUUGAUGCUGAUACGGCAUCGCUCUAGAAGAGCAAGCUCUUCUCGCGGUCUUUGCA